GUUUCUUAAGUCUGAUGUGAAAGCCCCCGGCUCAACCGGGGAGUGUCAUUGGAAACUGGGAAACUUGAGUGCAGAAGAGGAGAGUGGAAUUCCACGUGUAGCGGUGAAAUGCGUAGAGAUGUGGAGGAACACCAGUGGCGAAGGCGACUCUCUGGUCUGUAACUGACGCUGAGGAGCGAAAGCGUGGGGAGCGAACAGGAUUAGAUACCCUGGUAGUCCACGCCGUAAACGAUGAGUGCUAAGUGUUAGGGGGUUUCCGCCCCUUAGUGCUGCAGCUAACGCAUUAAGCACUCCGCCUGGGGAGUACGGUCGCAAGACUGAAACUCAAAGGAAUUGACGGGGGCCCGCACAAGCGGUGGAGCAUGUGGUUUAAUUCGAAGCAACGCGAAGAACCUUACCAGGUCUUGACAUCCUCUGACAACCCUAGAGAUAGGGCUUUCCCUUCGGGGACAGAGUGACAGGUGGUGCAUGGUUGUCGUCAGCUCGUGUCGUGAGAUGUUGGGUUAAGUCCCGCAACGAGCGCAACCCUUGAUCUUAGUUGCCAGCAUUCAGUUGGGCACUCUAAGGUGACUGCCGGUGACAAACCGGAGGAAGGUGGGGAUGACGUCAAAUCAUCAUGCCCCUUAUGACCUGGGCUACACACGUGCUACAAUGGACAGAACAAAGGGCUGCGAGACCGCAAGGUUUAGCCAAUCCCACAAAUCUGUUCUCAGUUCGGAUCGCAGUCUGCAACUCG
rnacentral:rRNA from 1 species